rnacentral:rRNA from 1 species
GAUGAACGCUGGCGGCGUGACUAAUACAUGCAAGUCGAGCGAACGGACGAGAAGCUUGCUUUUCUGAUGUUAGCGGCGGACGGGUGAGUAACACGUGGAUAACCUACCUAUAAGACUGGGAUAACUUCGGGAAACCGGAGCUAAUACCGGAUAAUAUUUUGAACCGCAUGGUUCAAAAGUGAAGGACGGUCUUGCUGUCACUUAUAGAUGGAUCCGCGCUGCAUUAGCUAGUUGGUAAGGUAACGGCUUACCAAGGCAACGAUGGAUAGCCGACCUGAGAGGGAGGACGGCCACCCUGGAAGUGAGACACGGCACACACACAUACGCGAGGAAGCAGUAGGGAAUCUUCCGCAAUGGGCGAAAGCCUGACGGAGCAAAACCGCGUGAGUGAUGAAGGUCUUAGGAUCGUAAAACUCUGUUAGUAGGGAAGAACAAAUGUGUAAGUAACUGUGCACAUAUUGACGGUACCUAAUCAGAAAGCCACGGCUAACUACGUG